rnacentral:rRNA from 1 species
UACGUAGGGGGCGAGCGUUGUCCGGAAUUACUGGGCGUAAAGAGAGCGUAGGCGGCACUACAAGUCUCAUGUGAAAUACCCGGGCUUAACUUGGGGGUUGCGUGGGAAACUGUAGAGCUUGAGUACAGGAGAGGCAAGCGGAAUUCCUAGUGUAGCGGUGAAAUGCAUAGAUAUUAGGAGGAACACCAGUGGCGAAGGCGGCUUGCUGGACUGAAACUGACGCUGAGGCUCGAAAGCGUGGGGAGCAAACAGG